GCGAAAGCCUGACGGAGCAACGCCGCGUGAGUGAUGAAGUCUUCGGAUCGUAAACUCUGUUAUUAGGGAAGACAGAUGUGUGAGUAACUGUGCACAUCUUGACGGUACCUACUCAGAAAGCCACGGCUAACUACGUGCCAGCAGCCGCGGUAAUAC
rnacentral:rRNA from 1 species